rnacentral:rRNA from 1 species
CGGCGGACGGGUGAGUAACGCGUGGGUAACCUGCCUCAUACAGGGGGAUAACAGUUGGAAACGGCUGCUAAUACCGCAUAAGCGCACAGUACCGCAUGGUACGGUGUGAAAAACUCCGGUGGUAUGAGAUGGACCCGCGUCUGAUUAGGUAGUUGGUGGGGUAACGGCCUACCAAGGCGACGAUCAGUAGCCGACCUGAGAGGGUGACCGGCCACAUUGGGACUGAGACACGGCCCAA